AACAAGUGCCGGGAGAUGGGGAGCGGAGAAAGAGAGAGAGACAGAAGGGGGCUGCAGCCGCUGAACUUCACUUCACAUUGCCUUUCAUCUCUCUAAAUUCUCUCAAUGUUGUUAUCAGAUGUUAAACCUUGAAAUUUUACAGUGUUUGCCUUCCAUUUCACAUUGUUCAUUUGAGCACAUUCUACUUGGUAGGCACUGAACGAUUGCAAAAAUGAGACAAAGGGUUUCUUUCAGUCUAACCCUUCCACUUACUCUACUUUUGCUUCUCUGUGUAUAUGAGUCCCGUGGCGGUUCAGUUCGGAAUACGGAAGCAAUAGCUCCUGAUAUCUCAUCCAGUGUAAGCCCUCAGCCUUUUCUUCCUUUACUAGCCCCUUCACCAUUGACGGCAUUCACAAAUUACAGCAUCCCGAAAUUAUCAGGACUUUGUACAUUAAAUUUUUCAGCAGCUGGAAAUAUGAUGAGCGUAACAGCAACUGACUGCUGGGCUUCCUUUGCACCCUUGUUGGCGGAUGUGGUUUGUUGUCCUCAAUUUGAUGCCACCUUAGCGACUCUUAUAGGGCAAUCCAGUAAAUAUUCUAGGAUGCUCGCUUUGAAUGUGACCCAUGCAAAGCACUGCCUUUCAGAUGUUCAGAAGAUCCUAGAGGGUCAAGGAGCAAACGAGAAUAUUCAAAAGAUAUGCUCAAUUGAACCAGAAACCCUCACUGCAGCUUCUUGUCCUGUUAUAGAGGUUGAUACAUUUGAGAGCACUGUGGAUUCUUCAAAACUACUUGGCGCUUGCAGAAAAAUUGAUCUUGUCAAUGAGUGUUGUGACCAAGUUUGCCAGAAUGCCAUAUUAGAUGCUGCUAGAACAAUUGCCGUGAUUGGUAUGCCAAAUUCGAAAGGGGUCAAUCUAUUGCCUGAACACUCAACUAGGAUUGAUGGUUGUAAGAAUAUUGUCCUGCGAUGGCUGGCCAGUAACCUUGAUCCUUCUUCUGCGAAUAAGGUUCUUAGAGGACUUUCAAAUUGCAAAGUAAAUAAAGUUUGUCCUCUGGUUUUCCCCAACAUGACAAAUGUUGUGAAAUGUGCAAAUGCGAUAAGUAAUCAGACAGCAUGCUGCAAAGCAAUGGAUAGUUAUGUUUCUCAGUUGCAACAACAGAGUUUCAUUACAAACUUGCAGGCCUUGAAUUGUGCAGCAUCACUUGGAGUGAAGUUGCAGAAAGCUAAUGUAUCCGACAAUGUUUAUAAUCUUUGUCAUAUAAAUCUCAAAGACUUCUCUCUUCAAGUUGGAUCACAAGAGUAUGGCUGCCUUCUGCCAAGCUUGCCUUCAGAUGCAACUUAUGAUAUAACUUCGGGAAUCAGCUUCAUUUGUGAUCUUAAUGACAACAUUGCGGCUCCGUGGCCCUCUUCCUCUUCUGACCAUCCAUCAUCUUGCAAGAAAACUACCAAACUUCCAGCAGUACCCAAAGCAACAUCUGCAAAAAGUGGCGAUUAACAGUAACAUUUCGAGGGUAUGAAAAGGAACGAUGAUGCAAAAAGUUGAAAGACCUCUGGACCCAAAAAAAGAAGAAACCACGUAGUUCUGUGUUGCGUUUAUCUUUUGGUCUUAUCAAUGAGGAUUUGAUUUUCCUUUCGUUCUUUUCCUCCUUACUGGUUCUGAAGAUGCUCCUUUGAAGUUGGCAGCAGAGGUUCUUUCUUUCUUUUUUAGUCAUGUGACAACAGAUUUUACAUACCUUUUUAUGAGCCCGUUGUAAAUCUGAUAUUGGGAAAGGACUUGACAUUUUACAAGUCCAACAUGUCUCUCUAUGUUUCAUGAUAUAGCUAUUUUUCUGUGAGGUUUUUGUCCUGUUGUUGUUUUCAUACAAAAGAACAGUAACAGCUGUGAUUUUAUGCAAUAAUGUAAUGUACCAAAAAACUUCUCUGGAGC